CCGAAACACACACACAUCCACAUACACCUUAGGAAGUAGAGGAGGACAAAGCUUAAACAAGAAAGUUUUAAUCACUGAAGACGUAAGAGUGUCCCAUGGUGAUUAUAUCAAUGCACGAAGCUCACCAACGUCGAGGAAAAUGUAUUUCAUUGCUAACUGACAGGUUGAAAGGAGACGUCUUCAAGACAUACUAGAAAUCUCCAUUGAAUAUUUGACUCACCUUGGGACUGUCACCGCCUGUGAAUUGCCAAACACGUACAAAGGUGUCUUCUGAUACGGACAGCACCUGUGUGAGACAAGAAUUAAGAGAGGGUUAUUAUUGAAUCAAAUCGAAUAAAAAAUGAGGUGUUCGUUUUCCUCUAUUUAAAUUUUA